UCCGCCAACUCGGCAGGGAACUGAUUGCAAAUUAAUUUAACCAAAUCUGCCAAGUCCACAAGUUAACUAUAGCCUACCCGGGAGGCCUGGGUGUUUCCCGCGUGAUUUCCUGUAAAAACAAAAAUGUUAGGUGUUUUAGUACUUAAUUUAUAUAGGUAUAAGUUAAUUUUUUUGUUUUCUUAUAUAAAUAAAAUUUGCGGAAAAUAAAAAAUAAACCACGAGAGCCCGGUAGCGGAGGCAAGCCCUUAAGGUAGUCGGUAAGUAUAUAAGAGAGAGGGCUGGACACGCGUCGCGUCGCGU
rnacentral:misc_RNA from 1 species